rnacentral:ncRNA from 2 species
UAUGGGAGCUAGGGGUGCCGUAAGGCUGAGAGAGAUUUUAUAUCUUAACCCUUUGAACCUGAUGUGGUUAGGACCACCGUAGGGAAGCGCGAAUUAUAAUCG